CAUUUAGAUGAAUUUGUUUUUUUUUAGGGGGGGGGGGCUUGAAGGUCUUAACUGUACACCAGUGACAUCAUCAAACAGCAACUUCCUUGACUCACUGAACCUGGCAUGCCACACCCUUGCCAUCAUACCUUCAGGUUCUGAGUCACGCAACGGCAGCCGAUGUCACUCAAAGAACGCACUUGGCGCAGUGUGGAGUGAUCCGCCCAACAGCCGCCAGCAACCCCUCCCGACUGCAUUUUUGGGCAUUGGAACCACUCAGCAGUGGAUGAUGCACACGAGGCCUUGCCAGGUGACGGCGAGAAUGUCGAGGGCGGCUCUGUCAUUGCGGAUAUAAGCUGUCACCGUGGAUGCUCUCGCUGCUUACAUUAAGUGCUCUCGGUUUGCGCGGUCACGCUCGGAUUGAGACAAACGACCCUUUUCGCGAGGGCGCUGAAAAAAAGCAAUUGAGAUGGACAAUGUAGCAGAUUAGAUGACUAUAAAGAUAACAGAUGCAAGAGUAUUGUUCAUUGUCAGCAUUUUUAUAUGCAAUGGAGGUCAUUCCAAAAGACAAAAAAUAUGUGAGGUCUGUGUUAUUUUUAAAUAAAUCCAAAUAUAAAAGUGUACUCUUAUAUUUAGCCAAGGUUCUUUUACUUUCAAAGAGUCUUUGUGUAGCCUCGCAACUCCAAGGACUUUACUUUCUUGUGCUCUCUUUUGGUUUAGCGAAUGAAAUCAUCACCGGAGACAUCUGGUGCCAAGGAACAUAGCGUGGGUGCCAGCUCGUUGCAUCAAAUCGCGGUAGCGACAAACCCAAACAGACUCCGCAGCUCCUUCCGUCUCUGUUUAUGUUUUAUGGGCCGCAACUCUUUUUGUUUUGGCUCCUUGGUUCCGGCUACACUUAUACACUAUAUACGUGCAAGAAGAUGAAUGAUGUGUCUGUCCCUCAAGCCAGGUGCAAUGUAAACAACCACAGAACUCAUUUUUGUAUCAUUGAAAAGAUG